rnacentral:rRNA from 1 species
AGCGCCUACGGGACGCAGCAGUGGGGAAUAUUGCGCAAUGGGGGAAACCCUGAUCCAGCGAUGCCGCGUGAGGGAAGAAGGUUUUCGGAUUGUAAACCUCUGUGGAGGGGGACGAUAAUGACGGUACCCCUUUAGGAAGCCACGGCUAACUACGUGCCAGCAGCCGCGGUAAUACGUAGGUGGCGAGCGUUGUCCGGAAUUACUGGGUGUAAAGGGAGUGUAGGCGGGAAAGCAAGUCAUAAGUGAAAACUCUGGGCUUAACCCAUAGCCUGCUUUU